AUCUGCAUGGCUAAUGAAGUCAGGACAGAGCGGGCUGGGAGCCCUGGGACAGCAGGUCGCGGACAGUGGGGAGCUGUGAACUUGAGGGGAAGAAGACACAGCCAGGGAAAGACUCUCUGCCGUUCUGGAGAGCUGUCAUGUGCAUUGAGGAUGUUCAGCAUCGUCCCAGAUCUCUACCCACUAUAAGUCAGUAGCAACCCCUCACCCUACUUGUGACAACCAGAAACAUCUGCAGAUAUGACCAAAAGUUCCCUGGGGGGCAAGUUUGCCCCCAGUUGAGAACCACUGGAUGAGGGCUAUCUGAUGGUGAAGGAUCUCAAAAAAAUUCUUGAAGAAGAGUGGUGUUGGAUGUAACAGGCUGGAGUUAGCCAAAGCUUUUUGUGCCCACUGAGCCACCGUAGGGUGCAGAACACAUCUGCAUCCCCUCUCAGAAAGAUUAUACACCAAAAGGAAGAGAAGACUCGGACCCUAAAACCCAGAGGAUUAAGUAGAAAGCUGUUUAAAGAAUAUUUUGAUUCCUGAUCCAUCUUGAAGCAGGAUUGUGAAGAACUGAGGCAGAAAGAUCUUCAUGAUCAUGGUGGACUUAACAUAAUACCUGAUAUAAUGGUAAUUUUUAAAAAUGUGAACAAUG
ensembl:lncRNA